rnacentral:rRNA from 1 species
UACGAAGGGGGCUAGCGUUGCUCGGAAUUACUGGGCGUAAAGGGCGCGUAGGCGGACAGUUUAGUCAGAGGUGAAAGCCCAGGGCUCAACCUUGGAAUAGCCUUUGAUACUGGCUGUCUUGAGUUCGGGAGAGGUGAGUGGAAUGCCGAGUGUAGAGGUGAAAUUCGUAGAUAUUCGGCGGAACACCAGUGGCGAAGGCGACUCACUGGCCCGAUACCGACGCUGAGGCGCGAAAGCGUGGGGAGCAAACAGG